AGUGAUCUGUGUUCCUUUUGUUCUAGGUUCGACAAAUGUCUCAAGCAUGAAGGAUAAACAAAGUUAUAGUAAAGCAUACAUGAUGAGUUCCAAACUUCUUGUUCUUUGGCUUCUGCCAUCAAUGUAAUGACUGUAAACUGGUAUUUUCACUAUUAAUUUGAAUCUGUAGUUUGAAACCUCUGCAAUGAUACAUAGAGUGAGUGCAUGAAGAAUUGAGACCUGUUACCACUCCUCUGCAGUUGUGUUUCAGAUUUAAUGGACAGCUGAGCAACUCUUUAGAAGAUCUUUUAUCUUUCCUCCAUGUCCAUUUAGAUCAACCCUAAGCAAGCAGACUGAAAGCUGCCACUGUCCUUUGACCUGUGUAAGGGAAGCUGAAGAGUGUGACUUAUGAGGAAACAUCAAGUAAAAUAGUCUAUGGUGAAAGCUUGCCUGAGUGGUUCAAUGGGGAACCCUCUUGUUAUAGCAGUGCUCUGAGGUCAUGCUGCUUGUCUGUACAACAGAGUCUAGUAUGACCCUCUUGGCACAUCCCCAGCUCUGGUCUGGUUUGUUCCUCAUUGUGGUCUCCAGUGUCCAGCUCUGACUGGUCUGGGCACUGAUGCACUUUGUGACCUAAAUCCUGCUGGACAUCUCUUUAUACCAGAAGAGGCAGCCAUAAUUCCCCUGAAGCUGCAGUGCAGUCAGAAACCAGAACCUACCUCUAAAGAACAGCUGUGAUCCAGAACGGUGUUUACCUGUGAAGGAUG
rnacentral:lncRNA from 1 species